GAGGGUAUAGCUCAAGUGGUAUAGUGCAUGCCUGGCAUGCACAAAGUCCUGGGUUCAAUCCCCAGUACCUCCU
rnacentral:tRNA from 1 species